rnacentral:rRNA from 1 species
CUAGCUGUAAACGAUGAAUGCUAGGUGUGGGAGGUUGAAAUCCUUCCGUGCCGGAGUUAACGCAAUAAGCAUUCCGCCUGGGGAGUACGGCCGCAAGGCUAAAACUCAAAGGAAUUGACG